GACUUUGCCAGGAGGGGGCACUAGUGUGCCCCUCUAGGCAAUACCCUCAGUAGGACACUUCCCUUCCUUUCCUUCCUAGCCUACUGUGCAGAGGAGCUCAGUCAUAUCUUGAGGCCAUGAUCUCCCUACCACAUGCCUGAACAGCUCUGCUCUGACCUGCCUUCACCUUCUGGCAAAUGAUGUAUCACUUCCAGGCCCUCACCACCUCCAGCAAUGCUGAAAAACCUUGAAUGGAGAUGAGAAGAUUAAAGUCCAAGACACUGGCAGCUCUCUGGGACAUUGCUCAUUGGGUUCAGGUAAAAGAACUUUGAGGAUGGAUACUUGAGAUGUCAUAGGGGAAUGCCAGAGUCAUCCAAGACCCAGCUUGUUCCUAUAUUCCUACUCUGCCUUUUGUAGCCGGCUUCCAUCUUCAAGGUUUUCUCAUGGUCCAAGAUGGCUGCUGAAGCUCUGGCCACCAUGUCUGAGUUCCAGACAGGAAGCAAAAGAAAGAAGAGAAAGUAAGAAGGGUGCAAGCAAGCUGACUGUUCCUCUAUUAAGGAUCCUUUCUGAAUUCCAUGUCUGGCUGUGUUGGGGGCUGUGAAAGGACUUCUUUAGUUGGUCAUAUUGCUACUUGGAAUAAAAUCAAAGUUUUGUUAUUAAGUCA